rnacentral:lncRNA from 1 species
UCCCUCCCCAUCUCCCAUAAGAGUGUCCGAAACCGCCCCCCAAAUCUAAAACAAAUCUUCAUUCUUCUCCAUCUCCCUCACCUAUCCCAAACCCUAGCUGCCUCUAAAUCCCUCAUCCCCACUGGCCGGCGUUGGCGCACUAAACACCACCAAUCACCUCCAAACCUUCACCCUAUAAUCUCCAACUCCUCCCCAAUCUAAACCUCUUAUUAUUUGCUCCGAAAUCUUCACCAAAAUCAACAUAUUAUAGAUCUAAGAUUCCAAAAACUUGAGUUCUAUCCACUCUCAGAUUCUUCAUGAUUUACCGCGUAUUUUGGCUCGAAACUCAAGUUAAUCGAUUGCUCUUAAUGAGAGCUAUCAAGUUAUGUUAGCUUCGAUCCAUUUCGAAGCCACAGAAUCCAUUCGAGUUUUGGUUGGUUGGCCCGUUUUUCUCUUCCAAAUUGUUUUUAGUCGUGUAAUGCCUCCAGGUAUAACUCUUCUCAUUAUUUCCCUUUAGUUUCUAUUUGUUCCUUCACAGUCAUUUCCCUCUUCUUCUUUUGUUUGAUUUCAGUUAUUAUUUCGUAUUUUUAUUUUUGUUUAAGAAUUGCAUGUUUAAGUCGCUUUGCAUUUAGUUUGUUUUACAACAGAUUAUAAUACUUAGUUAAUCAAGUUGAUUUAGGAUUAGUACAUGUUUUGUAUGUCUAGUUAGUAGUUCAGUACAAGUUAAUUAGUUUAAUCAUUUUUUUGAAUUAAUCAGAUAUCAAACCAAGUUGUUGAUUGAACAGUUUGGUUUUUGCAUUUUUUUUGUUCUGAUUCGUAUGGCUCUUGUUAGGGUUCAUUUGUUUUUUACCGUGAAAAUGGUAAUAACAAUUAAAUUUGAUUUAGUAAUUCUAAAAAUACAUGGUCUAUUUUUAUGCUAGUUGUUAGGCAGUUGAUGCUAUAUGAAAGACUUAGAAAUGAAAUAAGAACUUAAGAACGAGGUGUUAAUCAAACCGAAUCACUAUCUAUUGGGGCCUCGAGCUUGCCUAUCCGAGGGCCUCGAGGUCGAUUUUGAAGCUCGAUUGGCAGCUAUCUAAGGCGGUCGAUGGCGAAUAACAGUUAUAAAUGGAUCAAGGGUGGCUCUUUAUGGCCAAUAAUAAGCAAUACAUGACGAAUAAUGAGUAGAAUCACAAUAAAUGUGAGCAUUGAAUGAAGUAAAUGAAGUGAUAAGAUCAAGAGAAUAUGUUAGAGAUUAGAGAGAAUGUUCUUGUAUAUUUAGUAUGAAGCAACAAAUGUUUACAAAAUGACAUGGGUCCCCUUUAUAUUAGAGGGGGAAUCUAAACAUAGUACAAGUGCAUUUAUUACAAAGAUAUGGAGAUGAUACAUCUAACUAAUGCCAAGAUACGGCUUAGACUGGCCUGACAGAUCUUGUCGGUUCCAGCUUCAUGCCUUGGGAACUCCCCAUUUUCUUCCCAUAACCGUCGAUCCCACACCGCCCCGAGGUCGAGCAUCGAUGGCCCUCGAUGGGUGAGACUCGACUGUUAUUUCGAGCCUUCGAGACGUUAUAACGAUGGAAAAUUGGACCCUCCGAUUUUACCGUAUACAGAUAGUCCCUGCAUUUCUUAGAGUAGAAUGAUAAAAAAUGAACUUGAUAACCAUCUUUCUGAAUUUCCCGCGAUAGCGUUAUACCGAUGGCGUCAUACACGUAACAUAGGCUUUUAUGACAACCCAUAUGUCCCGUCGUUUCAACAUUCCAGAGUCAUUCAAAGCACUACCGUUUCUUCUUCUUUAAGGUAGUAAUAUCGUCGUCGGUUCAGCUCCCAAGGACGCAUUAAAUGCGCCUGCUAUUACGUCUUUCAAUGACAAUAAUGGUGCCUGUUGGUUACGCUUCUGCCCCUCCUAUAAAUGGGGGCCUCCUGGAACCAUUUGUUUUCAAGUGUUCUUCAAUCAACCUUCCUCAAAAUUUCUUCUUUCCAUCCUCAUCCGCUGUCAUUUCCCAUGUCUGAGGCCCGUGGCCUCAAGGCUAUCUGGUGGCGUUCUGAUCAGUUAUGCCAUGGUUUUUUCCUGGGGCUCUUCCCUGUUAAGCGAGACUAUACCAGCUUAUUGUUGUUGUUGUUAUUGUUAUUGUUGGCCUGAGAUGAGGAGACAUGGGAUCGAUUUCUCCCGACUUAGGAAAAUAUUUGGACUUUACAUCGCUGCUCACAAGGGAGUUCGGACUAUGCACCGCUGCUCACCUCCCCAGACUACCCGGUGCGACGCCUCACUCCCUUUGUAUUACGUGGAGUGAGGUGGUACUAUCUACUAACUGUUGCCUCCCUCACCGGGGCAACAACGCAAGAAGUUUCUUUACAAUAGUAGCACUGGAAAAAUCCAUACUAGCCAAAUUUUUUACUCAGCCACUUCUUCGUUCCUUUCUGCCUUUUUUGCGUCACUUUGCCCUUCUCCACCACUUUCCUCUUCUUCAUCUUCGCCCUCAGAGAUACCAUUCUGGAGGGCUGAGAUGAGACUCCCGGGGAGGUGGCAUUCGAAGAUAUUGCCACCGAGGAUGCAUCCUCAAGAGUAGGCUAGGCUCUAGGUUUUUACCGUAUGUGUACCUUUUGCUUCUUUGUUUCUGUGUAAAGACCCCUUGCGGGCUUUUGUAAUCAUAUGUAAGGACCCCUCAUGGGCUUUUGUAACCAAAUGUUUAUGAAUGAAAAAUGUUCCUUUAAUUUGUCUCUGAUGCACACUAUUUUCUCUUCAUCUAUGCUUGUGUAGAAUCUAAGUGCAUGACCCCAUCGGUCGAUGCAAAUAUCGAGCCCGGGUUGGACUGAUAAACUCGGGUGAUCGAAAUCCUAACUGAGAGUAAGGCUUCGAACUCCUAAAUUAAGAUUUAGCCUUUAGACCCUGCGAUAACCUUCGAGGGAGGAUUCGCUCGGAAGCUCGAGAAUGGAGACUGCCUUCAGGCUUUCGAGAGCAGUCCCCGAGUGAGGGUUAACUCAGGACGUUCGGAAACUUGUCUUGAACUUAGUGUACAUGGCCUUUAGGCGUUGUAGAUAGGUCCCGAAUGAGGGACUGCCUGGGUAUAGAUGGUAUCCAUAGGACAAGCCCAUACGAAUAGAGUUUUUAAGUACUUGUUUUUCUCCUUGAGAGGAGCCUUCGAAACCAGGUACCAUCAUGAGUCUUAUAAUGACAUCGACGGCCUCUUGGAGAGAUCCCCGAUAUCGGAUACCACCUUGGGUCUGGUGGUGAUGCUAAAAGGCAUCAUGGAGUCUAACCUCAUUUUGAUUGAAGUCCUCGAGAUCAGAUACCAUCUCGGAACUGGUGAUGAUGUCAAAGGCUUCCUGGAACCUAGCUUUUUUUUAUGGAGGUCCUCGAGGUCGGGUACCACCUCAGGACCAGUGAUGAUGCCAAAGGCUUCAUGGAGCCUAACUUCUUUUUGAUGGAGGUUCUCGGGGUCGGGUACCACCUCGGGACUGGUGAUGAUACUAAUGGCUUCCUGGAACCUAACUUCUUUUUGAUGGAGGUCCUCAAGGUCGGGUACUACCUCGGGACUGGUGAUGAUGCCAAAGGCUUCAUAGAGCCUAACUUCUUUCUGAUGGAGGUCCUUGAGGUCGGGUACCACCUCGGGACUUGUUUGGUGCGUGGGUCUCCAACCUCAAAACGUCAUACGAUGCUUGUCAAAUUGGCGACACAGUUGUAAAGUGACCGAGGAGAUCCUGCCGGUACAUCUUCCCAAAGCGAUUUCGGCUAGCAUUUUAAUCAGCCUCUAGGGAAGGUGGAUCUCCGCUGCUUUUUCCAUAUAUAAAGCUGCUUCCGCCCUUUUGGAGAUUCUCUCAUUCUGAGAAGUUACCCUUUUUUGCUGCAUUAGACUUUUCAUUAUUUCAGUAUUGACGCUCUGGUCUAAAUUCCUGGUCCAGUUCUCCAAUUUUGUUGUAGUUAUGAAUGCUAUAUCAGGAUCCGUUUGGCAAGGAGGAGAGAGUUUCGCCCCCGUUCUUGCCUUGUUGGCUCGGAGCAUUUUGCUUCAAGAGGGGACUUUUCACCAGAAAAGUACCCCGAUGCAUAGGACCAACAGGAGCAUAUCUUGGAGUUUACUUCUUAGAUAGGAAAGGGACACCUUGAGUCGGUUAGGAAAGACUGUGGAUGGGGGGAAAAGGUGGUACUACAGGAAUCUUCCCCGGAUGAGAGUAUUACGGACCGUGCCGAGGAAUUUCUGAAUAUGUUCACGUACCCCUUCACACUAGGCACCCUUAACAGGGUUGUGCUUGACUUCUAUCAAAAAUAUCGGGCUACCUUGGCCUAGAUUCACCCGUUAUUUUGGCGGAUAGUGUUGAUGGUGAGGUUCUUUGCGGAGAAGGCAGGGCUUGAAUUUUCACUUAACCAUCUUAUCAGAUUAUAGCGGCCCUUUCAUCAUCGAGGUUUGAUAACCUUAUGAUGUCGGUCGGCCACGCCUUUCAUUCUCGAUGAUGAAGAAGACAAUGGUCGGGAGUGGAUGAGUCUAUUCGUCCGAGUGCGAACUGCAGAUAUUAUCCCCGUGGAGUUUAUGCCGUUCCCUAAGGAAUGGAAUCAUACACGUAAGUGGUAUACUUGUGCCUUCACAGUUCUUCAAUUAUGGCGAAGGGGUGUGCCGUAAGUAUGCCUUUUUUUCUUUUUCUGCAGCGAUUUCGUGGAUGCCGUGCGAGGUUCCCGAUCUGUCGGAUUGGGUUCGGAAGUUGACGACCCACUCGACUCGCAAUGAGCGUAGGUGGAGAGCUUUGUCUAAGGAUAUGUGGGAGGCAAAAUACCACGGUAUGUGCCGUGCGAUUUGUUCCCUUCUUUUAGUUUAAAAAACAUUUGCUCUUUCUCCGUGCUAACCCUGUUAUUGUAGGCAUCAGGGCCUUCCGAGGUGAGGCGGCGCCCCCUUGGGGAGGGGGGGAGAAGGAUCUCUACCUCCUGGGCUAAACAAUGAUAACAAUAACCAAGAGAUACCUUUGCAGCACGAUGGCGCUCGGUGCAAGGCGAACCUGUGACGGGGGCUUGGAACGGAAGCGUUGAUCGAGCCUGCCGCGCCCGUGGUUUCUGGUUUUGAAGAGGCGUCUUAUCCUCCUCUUUUGCCUUCUUUUUCCAUCGAAGGUAAUUUAAGGGAUACUCGAAACCCAGGAUCAUAUGCACUGAGCGACCGUGCCUCGACCGGGGUUGACUCUUUCGGAACUGAGGGAGCUAGGUUAGCAGAUGUGCACUCGACCUUCGAGGAAGCAUAACGACUUCACUAUGGGUGAGUUUUUGGCAUGGGCCUUUUGAGUUCCGUGCCUUCCAUUCCUUACUGAGUUUUCUUUUGCAGACCAUCGAUAUGCUUAAGUUUGAGAUGCUUUGCCAUGAGGUCAGGCUGCGGAAAGCUCUGGAUGAGGAGAAAACCCUGAGGCGCCUUCACGAUGAAAGGGAAGUCGAAUUGGCAUACUUGCAGUGUGAGGUGAGUCAUAGCUUGAAUUAUGAGAGCUACUUGAAGGAGUAGGUAGUUUUUGUUCCGAGUGAGCGGACAUUCCUCCUUCUAGCCCCAGAAACUAAUGCUUUAUUUAUUUCAGUUGCAGAAAAAGAUGGAGGGCUUGGAGCACCUUCGAGAUAAGGCUGGCCAAGCCAAGCACAAGUAUGAUGAGUUAAAGGCUCAGGCGGAUGCUCAGGCUUCGACGAAGGAGGGUGCUCUAGCUAAGGCUUUUGCCCUUGAGGUUCAACUUCGCUUAGCCCAUGACAAUAGCUUGGUUCAAAAAGAUACGAUUGCGAAGCUCGAGACCGAGCUCUCAAAGAUAAGGGCCGAGAUUGUGGAUGCCUGAGCUGAAACUGUAAUGAGCCGAACUAAGGCUGACCAGAAAGUGGCGGUCUAUUUGAAGGACGCUGCCGAUGCUCAAGCUAAAUUGAGAAAGGUCCUUGACCGUGAAGAUAGGAGCAAAGAAUACGCUCAGUGUAAGUCUCGACGGAAAACCCUCAAGGAGAUCCGUGCUAGGGGAUUUGACCUCUCGAAAAAGUUGUCGCAGGCGAGGGCGGAUGAGUGUGGUGCUAGUUGCUUCUGUCCGACUCCGAGGAUAGCGAAGACGAGGCUGAUGAGCCAUAUCCCCCAGGGGGGAUGUAGAUUUUGCUUUCCGAUUCUGUACGUAGUACUUUCGAAGUAUGUUGUAAAUGGAGUUUGUAUUUUUCCGUAUGUAUAUAUAAAGAAGAAACCUUGCGGCUUUGUUUCUCCUGCAUUUCUUUUCGCCUUGACUUUAGCCAAAUGAAAUGGUCUCUAAGCAGAGUGGAAUCCUUAGAUUCAUGGUAUGGUCUUGAGGCUCAUUGGGUUGGCCCGUAGACUCUUACACGCUUUUGCUCUUAUGUAUAUUUAGGCCAACUGUUUUGGGAUCAGUCCCCGAGUCAGGCAUUGACUCGAGCUUAUUUGACCCUCAAGUUGUCAAAUUUUAGGCUGACGACAGUGGCUCUUACACUUUUGUUCGAUGCGACCCUUUAGUGUAUGUGGGCUGGCGACAAUGACUCUUAUGCAUUUUCCCUUAGGCAUAUUUAAUAAACUGUUUUGGGUUUAGUCUCCGAAUCGGGUUACGACUUGAGCUCAUUCGACCCUUAAGUUUUUGAAUUGCAAGCUGGCCCUUAGGCUAUUACGAGUUGGGUCGGUGCGACCUUUUAUGUGGGCUGGCGAUAAUGGCUCUUACGCCUUGGGUCGAUGCAACCUUUUAUGUAGGCUUUAUUUUUCCCUUCGAUAAGGAUUUUUUGNNNNNNNNNNNNNNNNNNNNNNNNNAUAGUGUUUUCCCGACUCUUCGAUAGCUUAAUAAAAGACCUCGAUUGUGAGUCGUUAUAUGGCGAUGAUCGAGCACCUCGGGAGGUUUGGCUCGGAGGCUGAGUAUCUCGAAGCGGGUGUGUAAGAAUUGACAUGGUCAAAGCUCUUUUGCCUGUAUCGAGGGUAGCCUGUUUAACCGGUUCUUUUUGAAGUAUAUUCGGAGUAAUUGAAGGCCUGUGAUUUAUAGCAACGGUCAGGCGUCCUGAGUCGCAUUUGUUUGGCUGGUACAACCUUGUGACUGGAGUCAUUUGUAUUUUGUCGAAGCCUUUAAGUCCCGAGUGAAGUAGUUUCGGCAUCUAUAUCAAGGUUAUGCCUUUUUAGGGGUCUUACAAGUUCGAUAUAUAGUCGAAACUUUGAGAUCGGGUUGAUGCCUUUAGUAAGGUCUUACAAGUUUUUCAUGCCUUUGAGGUAUUACAGUUUUGGAUACUUGGUACAAGUAUGGUUCAUGCCUUGCUUGAGGUUUUACAAAUAUUGUUGUUGCCUUAUAUAUAGGUCUUACGAGAUCGAGGCUGCCCGCAUGUAGCCUUAUGGCCUCGGGUUUUGAUAAGUCAAUGGAGAUGGCGCUUGACGGCAGUCCCCGAGUCAUCGACGUUCCUUGACUCGGGAGCCAUUACUUGUAAACUUGGUAUUGCCUCAUUGAGGGCUCAUAAUUUCGGAAUUUCCGACCCGGAGGUCAUUUGAGUUUUUGAUGCCAGUCCCCGAGUGUUCGGGUCGCCUUUCGGCUUUGAACGGUUCUGUGAUCCUUUUGUUGCCUCAUUGAGGGCUUACAAUCUCGAAGCUCUGACCUGGGGGUCGUGUUGUUGUGAGUUGUUGAUGCCAGUGCGCGAGUGUUCGGGUCGUCUUUUGGCUUUGGAGCCGUUUUUUGCAAAAAAUGUCGAUCUUUCUUGACACGCAAAAUGCUUUAGUGAAGUAUUCUUUGAUUACUUGGUGUAAGUAUACAUAUCUUUGCUAUUUGAGGGCUCAAUUGUUCUAUAUGGACAUGGUUCAUUUGACCAUUUGGCCUGGUACAUUAUCUUCCUAUCGAGACCCCUCUUGAUGCGUCUUGGCUUUCUCCGAAUAGGUGACCUCCCGAGGGGAUGCCUCCCAGUAUUCGAGGUUGAUUGCAAAAGGAAGCCUUGAAUACUUAUUGAGUCUUCCUUAGGUAACAUAUGGAUGUUAUCCUCAUUAAAAACCUUGCUGGUAAAACCCUUUUUGGGAUAAAACCCGGUCGAAGGAAAAAAGUGCAACGCAUGCUUUUGAAACCUAAGGCGUUCGAUUUCGAAAGUGUUUUAGCCGUUUUGAUCGGGUACCUGCACUCGGGUCGGUGUAGAAUAUAAAUGAAAGAGGAAGGAAACGGUCAUACCUUAGCGUACGAUGCGCCGACGAUGUUUCGAGCCCUGAUACGUUUUAGUUGCUUAUGAUGAGGACGCGGUACGGUCCCCUACUUUGUUUAGUUGGGAUAGCCGGGAGUGUAGUUUGUUAUUGUCAUUUUAAUGUUUGCUUAUCCUUCGACUCUCUCGAAGGUGGAGGUGUUAGUGUCAGGGCCACAUCGUGUAUCGCAAACAUUUCUUUCACUGCAUGCUAUUCCCCGUAGAUGGUCUUAAUCCAAUCUUUUGUGGGGAAUUUCAUCAUCUGAUGGAGGGUGGAAGGUACUGCUCUCAUGCAGUGUAUCCACAGCCUUCCGAGCAAGGCGUUGUACCUCAUGUCUCCCUCAAUGACAUGGAAUUUGGCAUUUUGGAUUAUGCCGGCCACGUUGACUGGAAGGGUGAUUUCCACUUUUGUUAUUUCGCUCGCCAUGUUGAAUCCGUUGAGGACUCGAGAGGCGGGUAUGAUUUGGUCAAGCAGUCCGAGCUGCACUACUACCCUCGACCUGAUAAUGUUGGCAGAGCUACCUGGACCACAAGUACGCGUUUAAUCUGAAAUGUAUUUACAAGAAAAGAGAUUAUCAGUGCGUCGUUAUGGGGCUGAGACAAGGUCUCGAUGUCCUCGUCGCUAAAUGUGAGGGCAUCUUCGGGUAUGUAAUCCUGGGUUCGCUUUUCUCUGGUGAUGGAUAUUUUUGUUCUUAUCAUCAUGGGCUCUUGUGGGGCAUCGAUGCCUCCUAAGAUCAUGUGGAUGGCAUGUUUUGGCUCAUUCGCUUCGUUCUUCUUGGCUGCUUCUCUUUCUCGAAACUAGUAUUUGGCUCGAUCGCUGAGGAAUUCUCGUAGGUGACCUUUAUUGAGUAGUCUGGCUACUUCCUCUCGGAGCUGGUGGUAAUCCUCUGUCCUGUGUCCGUGUGUGUUGUGAAACUCACAAACUAAUUUAUGAUUUCUUUGCGAAGAAUCUGAUCGCGUAGGCCUGGGCCACCUGGAGUCUCUGAUUUUACUUAUGGCGAACACGAAGUCUAAUACAUCUACGUUGAAGUUAUACUCUGACAAGCGAGGUGCCUCUACUAGCCCUGUGUUCCUGUCGAACCCGGCUCUGUUGACGAAUCCCCAGGGGUUUUGGCCUCGGUCCAUCCUUCGGUCAUUGCGGGGUAUGUUACACCUCGGGGCGUUUCUCCUGUCAUCGGUGUAUGGAUGGUACCUUUCUUUGUUUGGCUUUGGAUCCUUUGCCAAAAGCCUUCUUGGGUAUACCAAGCCCGAGGGUGCUCCUAGUUGGUCGCCUUCAGCCCUGAUUUUCGAUUGGUAUCGAUUGUGAACGUCUUACUAGGUCACGGCGGGACAAUUUGACCAGUUACUGUUUCAACUGCUUUGAAGCGACCGAGCUUCGCUCAUUUAGACCUUGAGUGAAGGCCUGCACUGCCCAGUCGUCGGAGACUGGUGGUAGUUCCAUUCGAAAGCGAGAUACGAACUCUCGCAACAUCUCAUUCUCCCUCUGUUUAAUCUUGAAGACGUCGAAUUUCCUUGUUGCUACUUUGAUAGCACCGGCAUGUGCCUUUAUAAAGGAAUCUGCCAGCAUGGCAAAUGAGUCUAUGGAGUUGGGAGCUAGGUUGUGAUACCACAUCAUUGCCCCCUUCGAGAGUGUUUCCUGAACUUCUUUAGUAAGACAGACUCGACCUCGUUGUCCUUUAUGUCGUUGCCCUUCACUGCGCAAGUGUCAGCAGUAACGUGCUCAUUGGGAUCUGAGGUCCCGUUGUAUUUUGGAAGGUCUGACAUUCUGAACUUUUUUGGAAUGGGCUUUGAAGCCGCUUCCUCUGGGAACAGCCUUUGUAUGAACUUCUUCAAAUCCACACUUUUUAGGAUCGAAGGUGCGCCCGGGAUUUGGUCGACCCUAGAGUUGUAAGUCUCGACCUUUUUGUCGCUGGCUUCUAUCUUCUUAUCUCCCGAUUCGAUCCUCUUUGUGAGGUCCUCGAGCAUCUUUACGAUGGAGGGGUCAGCUACUGACCCGUUGUUGCUUGACCUCUUCGGUACCUGCUCGGCCCGAGGAGCCAUCCCUGGUGCUACCGUGUUGGGAGUUUUCUGGUGACUUUGCAGUUGAGCAAUCGCUAGCUGUUGUGCCUACAACAUUUAAAAAAUAACAUUAAGGUUCACCUCCCGUUUCUCCCUAGCCGGGGUUUUCUAGGCUUGUUGUUGGUCUCCUUGGUGCACACUCUUGUCAGUGUGGGAGCUUAUAUCGACGUGUUGAGCAUCGCGUGAGACCGCGUCCGCGGAGAUCGGUUCCGGCGCGUUCUUAGGGUUUCAUGAUGGUAUGCCAGCACCUGGAACACCUACGCCAUUUUCUCCGUGGUUCUCAAGAUUGUUGUUUACUGAGUCGGACAUUUUGACCUGAAAUCAAAGAUCUUAGACAAGAAAAAGCGUGAAAGAUAACUUGCGUUAUGUUGUUAAACCACCAAGAAAAUAAUCACUAUUAUUUUUAGCCCCACGAUGGGCGCCAAACUGUUUAUCGUGAAAAUGGUAAUAACAAUUAAAUUUGAUUUAGUGGUUCUAAAAAUACGUGAUCUAUUUUUAUGCUAGUUGUUAGGCAGUUGAUGCUAUAUGAAAGACUUAGAAACGAAAUAAGAACUUAAGAACGAGGUGUUAAUCAAACCGAAUCGUUGUCUAUUGGUGCCUCGAGCUUGCCUAUCCGAGGGCCUCAAGGUCGAUUUCUGAAGCUCGAUUGGGAGCUAUCGAAGGCGGUCGAUGGCGAAUAACAAUUAUAAAUGGAUUAAGGGAGGCUCUUUAUGGCCAAUAAUAAGCAAUAAAUGACGAAUAAUGAGUAGAAUCACAAUAAAUGCGAGCAAUGAAUAAAGUGAAUGAAGUGAUAAGAUCAAGAAAAUAUGUUAGAGAACAGAGAGAAUAUUCUUGUAUAUUUAGUAUGGAGCAACAGAUGUUUACAAAAUGAUAUGGGUCCCCUUUAUAUAAGAGGGAGAAUCCCAACAUAGUACAAGUGCAUUUAUUACAAAGAUAUGGAGAUGAGACAUCUAACUAAUGCCAAGGUACGGGCUCAGACUGGCCUGACAAAUCUUGUCGGUUCCAGCUUCACGCCUUGGGAACUACCCAUUUUCUUCCCAUAACCGUAGAUCCCAUAUUGCCCCGAGGUCGAGCGUUGAUGGUCCUCGAGGGAUGAAACUCGAUUGUGAUUCCGAGCCUUCGAGACGUUAUAACGAAGGAAAAUUGGACCCUCCGAUUUUACCGUAUAUAUUUGUCAUUAACCAAAGUUUAAGGGGGAAAUUGGGAAUCAAAUUGAGCAGAAUUUUUUCUUUUAAUAGCUGAAAAGCUCUAGAAUACAGAUAAGGGAUCAUAAGGCAAUAAGGUGAGGAAGUUAGGUUAUAUUUGGGUUCAAAAAGGGUCAAUUUGAAAAGUUAACGGGUUAAAAGAAUAGGAAGAAAUUCUAGAAUUGGACAGCUGUCCAUUUUAGUUGCAAAAGAUGUCAAUUCCCUGAUUUUUAGGGAACUGGUAGAUUCUUUUUCAUUGCUAUGUGAUUCCUUCAUAUAGCACAUGCUUGCAUUCUAUAAAAAGGGACCCCCUCUCAUUCUCACACACAGAUUUUUACACGGAAAAACCUCUAAAUAUAGGGAUCCUUUUCUUCAUUUUGGGACUGAUUUUAGUUCACUCUCUCUUAGCCUUUACUCUAUAGUUUCAGAGACACUCCUCCGUUAGAAAAAGAACAAAAACUCUAAAAAAAAGAAAGAUUUCCAAAGCUGUUUCAUUUCUCUUCUUUGCUGCAUAUUUCUGGGAAAUUUGAGAAGGUUUUCUAAGUUCAAAAUUGCUGUUCGUAGCUGUUUGUGGACUGUCUUUGCUUGCUGAUCUCUAAGUUCCUUUCAGUCAACUCUAUUUCUCAUCUUUGUGUGUUUUUCUACGUAACAAGGUGCACAUUUCAACUUUGUUUUCUUUGGAACUAUAAUGAAAUGUUAAUUGCCCCUUCUGAAAAUCAUGUACUGUGAUCUAUUGUGCAUAAUUGUGAUUGAAAUGUUUGAUAUUGCUGAAACAUGAUAUAGACCUAAUAUCUAACUCUGUCCCAUGCUCAAUCUGUUUGUGCUCCCCUCCCCUUGAUUAGUACAUAUCUUUAGUUGAUUGUUUAAGGUGCUGGUCAUUGAUUAAUCUUACCUAGUAGAAUUCUAAAUGAUGUUUUCUUGGAAUCAAUAGUGACUGAUUGAAGCUUGUUUGGAUUCAUGUGACUGUUUCAUAUUGAAAAUAAUGUUAUGCAGGGCCUAUUUGUUUGUUUUAAACUUCAGGAAUGAGAUGAGAACUGGAUAGUGUUUGAAGAGAGAUAUUAAGAGCAGUAAUAUACAGAUAAGUCUUGCUAUUUACAAAUGGAAUUAAACCUGUUGGACUGGAGUUAGUUAACGAGUUGUAUGAUUUGACUUCUAUACCUUAUUUGUAUGAUAAGCUAAUUUAGUAUAAUAGUUGAUUCUGUUGUAUUAUUUUAAGCCUGUUGUAGUUAAAUACAGGCCCAUCUGAAUCUGUAGUUAUAGAGUGAUAAUUCUAUGGAAAUUUGUUUCUAAAUUAGAAUUCUGCAUUGGGCUUGGUAAAUCUUCAAGCCCAAAUCAGUAGAGUUCUAUUAAAUUGAAUUUGAGCAAUAAUAAUGAGCUCAUCUGAUAGUUUCUUAAGGCUUAGCUUGCUGGGUCCAGGCUUCAUAAGCAAGCCUAACUCAAGUCCAUUUAUUCCGAUAGAUUGUCUUGUAAACAAACCUGGAAAACCCAUCUGGACUUUAACCAUACUACUGUGGGAAUUUGAUGACAUCUAUUACCCUGUAUUGAAAAUCAUUAACUUUGGUAAAGACAAGGAAGAGUGACUUGUUUGCUCAAACAAACUCCAAGCGUUGUAUUUCCCAUUAUUUCAGCUGAAAGAUGAAAUGUUAGGAUUAAGCUCAUUCAUUUUUGAAGCCAUUUAACCGCAUUAGCCUUCACACUUUAAUGUCCUUGGCUUGAAAUACCCUCUUAUAACUUGACAUUCUAUGAAAUCAGACAUUAGUAUGGUUUUAGACGCAUUUUUUUCCAACUAAUCAAAUCAUCGUGACUAUGUACACGUUCGCGUGGCAUGAUUACGAUUUCAAAGAUAUAUAUUCGUAGCAAUGUUUUAGGCGCGCACUUAAUCGAUUGUCGCAAUUGUGUACACGUUCACGUGACAUGAUUAUGAUUCCCAAAAUAAUUCGAGGUAUGCGUUCGCACGACUUUGGCCAAACAAUCUAAUAUUAAUAAAGCGUGAUUAAUUGUGUACAUGUUCGCGUGAAAUGAUUUUAACACCCCAAAUAAACGGGUUUACACGCAUGUGAUCCGUUUCCAAGAUAAAUCCAUAAUUAAAAGCGGUCAAAAUGUAAAAUGCACAUAGGUUCAAAAAUACGUAAUUGAACGAUUAAUUAAGCCAGUAUGAUUAAAGCGACCGUGCUAAAACCACGGAACCCGGGAUGCCUAACACCUUCUUCUGGGUUAACGGAAUUCCUUACCCGGUCUUCUGGUUUUCACAGACUUUAGACGGAGUCAAAUUUCCUCGAUUUGGAAUUUAAAAUAAAUUGGUGACUUGGGGCACCAUAAACUAUUCCAAGUGAUGACUCUGAAUCUAAUAAAUAAUCCCAUUUCGAUUAACGUCAAUUAAAUUGAAAAAACUCCCUAUCCCCUCGGGAAAAAAGAGGUGUGACAAGGGAGAGGAUCAAGAGGUUCAUUGAUGGCCUCAACUAUAUCCUUCGGUAUGGUAUGGCCCAAGAGUCUGAGACAGAUGGUUGAUUUGACCAGAUGGUCGAGAUAGCUAGACGGUUGGAGCAUGUUUGCAUGCUUGAGAGAGAGUAGCAGGAGGCCAAGAGGCCUCGUGGUUCAGGUGGUUUUGGUGGUACCUCAUCUGAAGGCAAGUCAUAUCACAGAAGAGGUCGUCAUUUUAGGACCGAUCAGGCAACACGUUAGAUCCCGUAGUUCAUCAAUUAUCAAUAGCUCAUACAGUUCAGUCAUCAUUCAGUGCACUUCCGGCACAGAGUUCUUACGGUGCUUCAUCUACUCAGGGUUUCAUAGGCAGUUAUUCAAUUUAUCAAGGUUAGUCGUAGGGUCAUCAACCUCGUUAGAGGAGGGGUUGUCUCUAGUGUGGAGACUUAAGUCAUCUCAAGAAAGAUUGCCCUAGACUUUUGAGUAGUGCACCAGAGAAGCACACAACCUAUGGUUCCAGCACCAGUAGCUACACCACCCACAAAACCAGCUAGGUUAGGGCUCAUCGAUUCGAGGUCGCCUUAGAGGGAGAGGUCAGUCAAAUGGUUGACAUGCCGAUUAUUAUGCAUUUUCUGCCUGGACAGAGGUAGUUGCUUUCGAUGCCGUGAUCACGAGUAUUGUUUUAGUCUGCCACAGGGAUGCUUUAGUGUUAUUUGACCAUGGUUCCACUUGUUCUUAUGUUUCAUAAUAUUUUGUUCAUUAUCUGGAUAUGCCUUGCGAUUCCCUUGAUAUUUCUGUUCAUGUACAUACAUUGGUGGGUGAUUUCAUUGGGGGAUCAUAUAUAUCAGUCUUGUGUGGUUACCAUUGGGGGCUAUGAGACUAGACUUGAUCUUUUGUUUCUUAGCAUAGUAACUUUGAGGUGAUUUUAGGUAUGGAUUGACUAUCUCCAUACCAUGCUAUUCUUGAUUGUCACGCUAAGACCUUGACGUUGGCGAUUCUGGGUUUUCCUAGGUUGGAGUGGAGAUGUUCUUUUUGGCACGCUCCCAUUAGAGUAAUUUCAUAUUUGAAGGCUUAAUAGAUGGUUGAGAAUAGGUGUUUGGCGUAUUUGUCUUUCGUGAGAGAUGUUUGUGCUGAUACGCCUACUGGCAAGUCAAUCCUAAUGGUAAGGGAAUUUUCAGAUGCAUUUCCAGCAGACCUGUCGAAAGUUUACAGGUCAUGAGCAAAACUCUACUUUAGGAGACACCGGCGGUACUGAUGGGACCAGCUUAGACACCAGCGGUACUUGUUGCUAUGCCUGGUCUUUAGGAGACUUUUGCACAGAUCUUAAGUGUGUACACGAGCUUGGCUCAAGAGGGUAUAAUAUCUGUUCCACCAGCUACCUCUCAGACUAGGGGAGGAGCCUAGACUUCUAUCACCCGUACACCAAAGCAGCUAGCUCAAGGUUAUCAGACACUAGGGGUUUGGCCAGUUUAGCUAGUUGUUGCUGCUCGGGCUGAUGCUGGACCAUCUUUGACUAAUGAAUGAGGAGCAGAAGAGGUUAGAGAGAUUUCAAAGUCUUCAUCCUCCCCAGUUUAGUGGAGGAUAGUCAGAGCAUGCUCAUGGUUUUCUCGGUUAGUGUCAUCAGAUUCUUCGCACAACGAGUUUUAUGGACUCCAAUGGAGUCGGCUUCAUUACUUUUCAACUUACAAGGACAUCCUAUAGGUGGUGGUAGACCAAUAUCGGCUAGCAUAGCAACACGUACAUGGCAUCAGUUAUCAAUUCUCUUAUUAAAGAAGUUCGUCCCAUAGACUCGCAGAGAGAAGUUGCGUACAGAGUUUGAGCAUCUACGCCAAGAGGGAAUGACUGUGACCCAGUACUGUUACAUCCCAUAUCUUAAUAUUAGGAUGAGUCGUAGUAAUCCAUAUGAGCUUGAAGGGAUUAAGAUCAUUCAUGAGAUUAUAGAGGAUUUGUGACUAUGUUAUUGUAUGACCAUGUAAGUUUAACAGCCUUGAUACUGUUGUAUACAUUUGAUAUGGUCUUUUGAGUGGAAUAAUUUUUGUAAAAAAAAAAGUUUAAAAAAUAUGAUUUCAUAUAAUUAUUAAUAUUAUUAUUUUCGAAUAUGCUUUAAAUUAUACACAUAAUAUGAGAAAGUGUAUGAGAUUUUUUUAUUGUAAAGGUAGAAAUUAUUUUUUCUCACAAGAAAAAAUGGUUAUCUUUUUACCAUUUUAAGAAUUAAGUGUACAAAAAUUUGUACUCUUUAUAUGAGAUUAGGAAAAUUAGAAGUUGAGAAAAUAUAUGCAUUUUUACAUGGAUAUUUUAAUGAAAUAAUAGUGUGUAUAUUAAUUUUAUAUGAUACUACAUGACCAUGAUAGUAAGUUAUAUAAAGUGUAUUAAAAGUGAGUAGUAUUUUAGGUAAGUUGAGAUAAUUCUUAAUUAUGUGGAUAAUUGAUUAAUUAAAAUUUUUUGGAUAAUUAUUUAAGUGGGAUCUUGGAUAAUUACUAAGGGGACAAUAAUUUACAUGGAGCUAUGGGAUUAUGGCAGCAAAUUGCCACCAAUCCUUAUGCUUAAGGAGGUGGUGGCAAUAUUUAAGGUAUGUUCGCAUUAUCUUAUUUUGGUUAAAAGGUUCUAUUGAGAAGGCUUCUUUUAAUUCACAAAUUGAAAAAGUCUUAUGACCUUGUGAAGCUACAAAGCAACGGAUGAGUUCUUAAAAAUAGGAAUUCAUAUCAUGAUAUUAGGGAAGCGUUUGGAAUGACUGCAAGGUUGUAAGGAUUUUCCUCUACUUUGAUCCGGCGAUACGUGUUUUUUGUAAAAGAUGUGUGUUAGAGGGAUUGUCAGAACCGACUCAGGUAUGUUAAGGCUAAUCUUUCCUUCUUUUGACAUGAUUUAAGUAACGAUACGUAAACGUAAUGUUAUUUCAUAAAUGGUUCUACUCUUAGUAACUAAGAAGGUCUACGUUAUUCAUUCAUGUAAAAUGAUAUUCAAGCAUGUCUAAGUAUGUAUCUAGUCCCUAAUAAGGUAUAUGAUAGAGAUGUUAAUGUUUAUAAUAUAGUGAUACUUGCAUCUUCGCAUUUACCACCAAGCUACGACCGGUUUGGCAGUCAUUCACUUACCAUCGAGCUACAACCGGUUGGGCAGUCAUGCAUUUACCAUUGAGCUACGACCGGUCGGGCAGUUACCAUCGGUUGGACAGUUGUGUAUCAUUAUUUACCACCGGUUGGGCAGUCAUACAUCAUAUGAUAUGGAUAAUAGUCUCAAAGAGAAGCAUUAUAUAUAUGUAAGUAUAAUAAGUAUGCAUAUACGAUGGCAAUUCAGAGAUUCAGGUUGAUUCUUAUAUGUCUUUAAUUAAUGUUGACUUAUUAUUAUGUUUCAGUUCUGCCUUACAUACUCAAUACAUUAUUCGUACUAGCGUCCUUUUAUUGGGGACGCUGCAUUCAUGCUUGCAGGUAUAGAUAAUCAGAUUGAUGAGCCCUCAUAGUAGAUGAGGUUGGCAUUCAGCGAAGGAUCGGUAAGACUCAACCUCAUUUGGAGUGAAAUCGAGUCUAUAAGCCAUCGUGUCAGAGUUUGGCUACCGACUUAUGGGUAGGCCGGUACCCUGUCCCAUUUGAUGUCAAAUGAUCUUAGAUACUUUGUAGACAGAGGUUCAUUUUGUACAGUAUGUUAGAGGCCUUGAUGGCCUAUAUGUAUUCAGGUUUUAAGAAAUGGUUCAUUGAUACAGUGUUUUCCCACUUAUAGUUAUACAUUACGAGUUCUGGCCAUAUUGGCCCCUGAUAGUUGCAGAAGAAAAAAAA